rnacentral:rRNA from 1 species
UUCCAGACUCCUACGGGAGGCAGCAGUGGGGAAUAUUGCACAAUGGGGGGAACCCUGAUGCAGCGACGCCGCGUGGGUGAAGGAGUACUUCGGUACGUAAAGCCCUAUCAGCAGGAAAGAAAAUGACGGUACCUGACUAAGAAGCCCCGGCUAACUACGUGCCAGCAGCCGCGGUAAUACGUAGGGGGCAAGCGUUAUCCGGAUUUACUGGGUGUAAAGGGAGCGUAGACGGCGAUGCAAGCCAGAUGUGAAAGCCCGGGGCUCAACCCCGGGACUGCAUUUGGAACUGUGUGGCUGGAGUGUCGGAGAGGCAGGCGGAAUUCCUAGUGUAGCGGUGAAAUGCGUAGAUAUUAGGAGGAACACCAGUGGCGAAGGCGGCUUACUGGGCGGCAACUGACGCUGAGGCUCGAAAGCGUGGGGAGCAAACAGGAUUAGAUACCCCGGUAGA